AACGAACGCUGGCGGCAGGCCUAACACAUGCAAGUCGAGCGCUCACUUCGGUGGGAGCGGCGGACGGGUUAGUAACGCGUGGGAACGUGCCCAGAUCUAAGGAAUAGCCACUGGAAACGGUGAGUAAUACCUUAUACGCCCUUCGGGGAAAGAUUCAUCGGUAUCGGAUUAGCCCGCGUUAGAUUAGAUAGUUGGUGGGGUAACGGCCUACCAAGUCUACGAUCUAUAGCUGGUUUUAGAGGAUGAUCAGCAACACUGGGACUGAGACACGGCCCAGACUCCUACGGGAGGCAGCAGUGGGGAAUCUUGGACAAUGGCGCAAGCCUGAUCCAGCCAUGCCGCGUGAGUGAUGAAGGCCCUUAGGGUCGUAAAGCUCUUUCGCCAGAGAUGAUAAUGACAGUAUCUGGUAAAGAAA
rnacentral:rRNA from 1 species